UACGUAGGUGGCAAGCGUUGUCCGGAAUUAUUGGGCGUAAAGCGCGCGCAGGCGGCUUUGUAAGUUUGGUGUUUAAUCUCAGAGCUCAACUCUGAUUCGCAUCGAAAACUGCAAGGCUUGAGUACAGAAGAGGAAAGUGGAAUUCCACGUGUAGCGGUGAAAUGCGUAGAGAUGUGGAGGAACACCAGUGGCGAAGGCGACUUUCUGGGCUGUAACUGACGCUGAGGCGCGAAAGCGUGGGGAGCAAACAGG
rnacentral:rRNA from 1 species